CGGAGGAAAAGAAACUAACAAGGAUUCCCCUAGUAGCGGCGAGCGAAGCGGGAAGAGCUCAAAUUUAUAAUCUGGCACCUUCGGUGUCCGAGUUGUAAUCUCUAGAAGUGUUUUCCGCGUUGGACCGCACACAAGUCUGUUGGAAUACAGCGGCAUAGUGGUGAGACCCCCGUAUAUGGUGCGGACGCCCAACGCUUUGUGAUACACUUUCGAAGAGUCGAGUUGUUUGGGAAUGCAGCUCAAAUUGGGUGGUAAAUUCCAUCUAAAGCUAAAUAUUGGCGAGAGACCGAUAGCGAACAAGUACCGUGAGGGAAAGAUGAAAAGCACUUUGGAAAGAGAGUUAACAGUACGUGAAAUUGUUGGAAGGGAAACGCUUGAAGUCAGACUUGCUUGCCGAGCAAUCGGUUUGCAGGCCAGCAUCAGUUUUCCGGGGUGGAUAAUGGUAGAGAGAAGGUAGCAGUUUCGGCUGUGUUAUAGCUCUCUGCUGGAUACACCUUGGGGGACUGAGGAACGCAGUGUGCCUUACGGCGGAUUUCUCGAGAUCUUCACACUUAGGAUGCUGGUGGAAUGGCUUUAAACGAC
rnacentral:rRNA from 1 species